GAAAACUGCCUCAUAGAUGAUUUCCCCCUAUCCUUGAACAUCUCCCACCAAACAAAACAGUAAAACAAACUGAGGUUGUUUUUCAAACACUUUACCUAAAAUGAUCUAAGAAUGUUGAGUUAUAUGACAAAGCUCUUUCAGAACCCAUGAAUACUCUUCCCAGAGCCAAUUCUAUCAAUUAUAGUACAUUUAAAAUGGUGAGAGGAAUUAUUCCCAGCCAUAAAAAAAGAGAAAAAAAUACUGCUAUCUGUAACAACAUGAAUGGAACUGGAGGUGAUGGAUACCCCGAUUACUCUGAUUUGAUAUAUACACACUGUAUGCCUGUACCAAAACACUAUAUGUAUCCUAUAAAUAUAUAUAGCUGUUAUGUACCCAUAAUAAUUAAAAAUUUAAAAAAUAAAAAUUUUUAAAAAGAAUAAAACAUGUAACAGGUGAUUAGCCAAAAAAGACACUAUUGCUGGUAAAUCAGUCAUAUGUUCUAGGGCUGCUGUAACAGACCAGGCCCACAUAUUAAUAUCAUGUGGCUCUAAUGACAAGAGCUGGCUGAGAAGUUAUGAGACCACACCUCAUUAACACCUUGCUCUUCAUCUCUCUCCCUAGGCCCACAGAGACACAACGCUUCAAAAGCUUUGCAGGGUCUGAGGAAUGCUUUAAAGUUGAAGUGCUUCAAGCUAACUGGGUUCUGGAAAUCAAAUCUAACAUUAUAAAAUUAAAAGCUAAACCUCUACUGUACAUAUCAAUUUAUGCUCCCAACUGCUGGUUUCCCAGAGCAUCUGAAUCCUGGUGGGAGGUGUUUUAGUCCAUAAACCACAGGUAAAGCAGCAGAGAAAGAAAACACUGGGAGUAGAGAUAACAGGAGGAGAAAGAGAAGACUAAAUAAUACACGGCACCACUUGGUCUAAGUCAUAAUUCCUUGUCAAGCCAAGGUUCAAAAGGUAAGUCAAAAGAGACAUGCAAUAUGACAAAACUUCCUUUGGAGAAUGGAAAUUCUCUACAUGCACAGGGGUCCACCAUCCAAAUGACUGACAAGUCAGUUGUGGGUCACCCACAGAUCAAAAGAUGUGCAUUUAAAUAUUUUAAAUUUGUGUUUUGUUGGUACAUUUUGACAACAUGAUUUAGAUCAAAUCCAUUUGCAUUUAGGACUGAAAAUUGUGUCUGGGUUCAACUAGAAUUUUGUAAGAAUCAUACAUAUCAGAGAAUUUAGAAUUAAGAUUAUGUUCAUCCCCCCCCCCUUCAGUCCUAUGAAUUCCUUGUGCAAAUGCUGUGCCCAGUUCACUGGGUGCUGGGGGUGACAUAAGGCUUAAUGGACAAUGUUGAGAGAUUAAUUUCAUUUCAGAAUUCAAACUGGGCAUUGGUCAAGCUCCUAGGCUUCAUGAUAAAAAUCAACAAAUACAUAAAAACAUUCAAAAGUUAUCCUAUUAAUAGAAAUUAACAUCUAUUUAAAAGCCAGAAAUAAAAUGAUAGUAUAUUAGUUAGCAUGGGCUCUAAAUAUCUUCAGAAUGAAAUCUCCCUUAGGGAAAAAAAAUCAGUAAACCCUAUUCAUGGUUCAAUCAUCCAAGGUCUGGUAAACAAAUUUAGAAGUAAUUGGCCAUAUUUAUAUUUAGAUGCCACCAAUUUAAGUAAUACAAUAGGUUAAUCUUAAUCUCACUCCUACUUUUCCUGAACAUGCCAAGGAUAAAAAGGUUACAAAUAACAACAAAUAAACAACACACCACUUAUAAUCUGGCAAAGCAACUUCUAUUCAUGAGAUUUCUUCCUUAAUUUAUGAAGCAGGGGCUACCUAAUUUAAUGAAAAAUAGUAGUCACCACAGAUAUGACAUUCUGUCUCAUAAUUAAAGGAAGAUGCUAUCAGAAGUUCCCUUGAAAAGAGAGGCCAGGCUUCCUUCACUAUUAAACACACUCUCCUCCUCUCCCCCCCCUUCUUUCUGAUAUGCAAUCCCUUCUGUCCUCCAUCUGCUCCACCCCCACCUAUUGUCUCCAAUCACUGCCAAGCGUGCCAAUCCCAUCUGGCUAUACUCCUGCU